rnacentral:tRNA from 1 species
UGGCGAUGUAGCUCAGCUGGUUAGAGCGCACGACUCAUAAUCGUGAGGUCAAGAGUUCAAGUCUCUUCAUCGCCACCAU